AUUGAACGCUGGCGGCAGGCCUAACACAUGCAAGUCGAACGGUAGCACAGAGAGCUUGCUCUCGGGUGACGAGUGGCGGACGGGUGAGUAAUGUCUGGGAAACUGCCCGAUGGAGGGGGGUAACUACUGGAAACGGUAGCUAAUACCGCAUAACGUCGCAAGACCAAAGUGGGGGACCUUCGGGCCUCACACCAUCGGAUGUGCCCAGAUGGGAUUAGCUAGUAGGUGGGGUAAUGGCUCACCUAGGCGACGAUCCCUAGCUGGUCUGAGAGGAUGACCAGCCACACUGGAACUGAGACACGGUCCAGACUCCUACGGGAGGCAGCAGUGGGGAAUAUUGCACAAUGGGCGCAAGCCUGAUGCAGCCAUGCCGCGUGUAUGAAGAAGGCCUUCGGGUUGUAAAGUACUUUCAGCGGGGAGGAAGGCGGUGAAGUUAAUAACUUCACCGAUUGACGAUACCCGCAGAAGAAGCACCGGCUAACUCCGUGCCAGCCGCCGCCGUAA
rnacentral:rRNA from 1 species